CCUACGGGAGGCAGCAGUGAGGGAUAUUGGUCAAUGGGCGCGAGCCUGAACCAGCCAAGUAGCGUGAAGGAUGAAUGACCUCCGGGUUGUAAGCUUUUUUUAUAAAGGAAUAAAGUGAGGCACGUGUGCCUUUUUGUAUGUACUUUAUGAAUAAGGAUCGGCUAACUCCGUGCCAGCAGCCGCGGUAAUACGGAGGGGGCAAGCGUUGUUCGGAAUUACUGGGCGUAAAGGGAGUGUAGGCGGGUUAGUAAGAUAGGGGUGAAAUCCCAGGGCUUAACCUUGGAACUGCUAUGAUAACUAUUAGACUAGAAUUAAAGAGAGGAUAGUGGAAUACCCAGUGUAGAGGUGAAAGUCGUAGAUAUUGGGUAGAACACCAGUGGCGAAGGCGACUAUCUGGCUGGACAUUGACGUUGAGGCUCGAAAGCAUGGGGAGCAAACAGGAUUAGAUACCCCAGUAGUC
rnacentral:rRNA from 1 species